GCCUAUGACCAUACGACCCUAAAUGUAACUGAUCUCAUCUACUCUCAGAAGAUAAGCAGGAACAGUUCUGAUUAGUCCUUGAAUGGGAGAAUUUUCAAUGUAUAUCCAUAGGAC
rnacentral:rRNA from 1 species